CGCGGGAUGGAGGAGUAGUACCUCGGAAGGCUCAUAACCUUCAGGCGCGGGUGCAAUUCCCGCUCCCGCAACAA
rnacentral:tRNA from 1 species